rnacentral:rRNA from 1 species
CCCUUAGAUGUUCUGGGCCGCACGCGUGCUACACUGAGUGGAUCAGCGGGUCAGGUUGCGCGAAAGCGUUUCCUAAUCUUGAAAUCCGCUCGUGAUGGGGAUUGACGGUUGCAAUUUUCUGUCAUGAACGAGGAAUACCUUGUAAGCGCGAGUCAUCAUCCCGCGCUGAAUACGUCCCUGCCCUUUGUACAUACCGCCCGUCGCUACUACUGAUUGGACGUUUAAGCAAGAUUUUUAAACACUGACAGUGUGUAGUUCACGCUAUACUACAGUGAGAAGAAGAAGAUCGAGCUUACUUGUCUAGAGGAAGUAAAAGUCGUAACA